rnacentral:rRNA from 1 species
CGGGCGAUGUGUACAUAUUAAUGGUAGUUUUCAAAUAAACAUAAUAAUUAAAUUUUACUAACAAAUUCUAUUUUUAAAAAUAUUUCAAUAUUUAUAAAUUUUUAAUAAUGUAAUUCAUUUCAACUAAAUUAAAUUGCACCUUGACCUGAUAAUUUAAGAAAAUUAUUGUAAUUUUUUUAAUAAUUACUUACGGUGGUAUACAAAUAUAAAUUAAGUAAGAUUUAUCGUGUAUUUUCGAUUAAGAAACAAAUUCCUUUGUAAAAGUUAAUACCGUCAAAUUUACUAUUUUAUUUUUUCUUGAAAUAUUAUAUACUAAAAUAGAAUAAUA